CGGCAGCACAGAGGAGCUUGCUCCUUGGGUGGCGAGUGGCGGACGGGUGAGGAAUACAUCGGAAUCUACUUUUUCGUGGGGGAUAACGUAGGGAAACUUACGCUAAUACCGCAUACGACCUACGGGUGAAAGCAGGGGAUCUUCGGACCUUGCGCGAUUGAAUGAGCCGAUGUCGGAUUAGCUAGUUGGCGGGGUAAAGGCCCACCAAGGCGACGAUCCGUAGCUGGUCUGAGAGGAUGAUCAGCCACACUGGAACUGAGACACGGUCCAGACUCCUACGGGAGGCAGCAGUGGGGAAUAUUGGACAAUGGGCGCAAGCCUGAUCCAGCCAUACCGCGUGGGUGAAGAAGGCCUUCGGGUUGUAAAGCCCUUUUGUUGGGAAAGAAAUUCAGCUGGCUAAUACCCGGUU
rnacentral:rRNA from 1 species